rnacentral:rRNA from 1 species
GUGGGGAAUCUUCCGCAAUGGACGAAAGUCUGACGGAGCGACGCCGCGUGAGUGAAGAAGGCCUUCGGGUCGUAAAGCUCUGUCAUCAGGGACGAACGGCCGGUGGAGUGGAAAGCCACCGGAUUGACGGUACCUGAGAAGGAAGCCACGGCUAACUACGUGCCAGCAGCCGCGGUAAUACGUAGGUGGCAAGCGUUGUCCGGAAUUAUUGGGCGUAAAGCGCGCGCAGGUGGGAUCUUAAGUCCAUUUUGAAAGUUCGGAGCUCAACUCCGUGAUGGGAUGGAAACUGGGAUUCUUGAGUACCGGAGAGGAAAGCGGAAUGCCCCGUGUAGCGGUGAAAUGCGUAGAUAUGGGGAGGAACACCAGUGGCGAAGGCGGCUCACUGGCUCGAUACUGACGCUGAGGUGCGAAAGCGUGGGGAGCAAACAGGAUUAGAAACCCCGGUAGUCC